GCUGCUUGCAGAAGCAGAGGAGAAACGUGUGGGGGCCGGAAGGAAAGACACUGAGGAAAGCAAUUGCAGGGCCCACAUCUGCCAGCAGAGCAGGAAGCUCUUAGGAUUCCUGCUGUGUGGAUUCAGAGGGAGAUCAGCUGGGAAGCAGGGAGAGGUGACAUCGUGGCUCUGAAUCCUCUCCAGCAAUCUGUUCUAAUGUUCUGACAAGGACCUGCCAGAAGAGGGCUGGAGACUCCGAGCAGAUCCCUUAGACGACUGAUAACUAUCAGACAAACAGUGUCGAGUCUGAUGCCAGCGCAGCCUGAUGCAACACCUCUGUGCCUCCGCUCCGGGAUGUGCUCUGCUCUGCAGCCCGCACCUCUCCUUGCAGCUCCUUAAAGAGACCGCUGUCCCUCUGAAAACGCCCUGCAGAGCGAGCUCGGCCUAAAAAAAUCACGAGGAAAGAAAAACAUCACACCCUGCAAGGCGGCAAGAGACAUGGGAAAGCUCACACCCACCGGCACACGCUGCUUGUGCCCGGCCCUGUGAAGUGUCAGCUCCAGCACGGCCCUAACGAGCUGCUGAGGCGUUGGGUCCCACCCUGGGUCUGUUUAUCCGUGCCUUGGCGCAGUGGCAGUGUGUCCCGUGGUCCUCUUGUCUGGGGAAAGGGAAGUGGUGCUGCUCCUCCAGUGUGGCUGCAGCUCUUGGUUAUGAGCUCCUGUUUGCAGGCGUGUGAAUGAUGGCACAAAUCCCUUCCUCUCUCUGCAUGGCAGUGCCACUCCUCGCUGGGCCAUGCAUUGCAGGAGUGCAGCUGAGGCCAAGGCCUGCUGCUCCCUGCUCCCUCACUGGGACUUUCCUCUGGGCAGCUUUGAGGAGUGGGGAUGAAAGGCGGCACGGUGGAAGCACGAAGCUCGCCUGGUUUAUUUAUUUAUAACUGGCGUCUGCUUGAAAGGAAGCCGGCACUAUCAGCUCCAGCACCACCGGGUUAAAUGAGUAAAUGAAAGAGGAGUUUUGCGUAUAUUCUGGAGCUCAAGUUUGCUCUUAUAUGGGCAUCCCACCAGGCGCUGCUUGCUGGUACCUUGCUGCUUGUGGUGUGGGACGUUCAGGCUCCAGCAGUGAGCCAGGGACCUGUCUAUGUGACAAGCAGGAGGCACAGAGGGUGGGUGAGCUCAGGCUGCAGCCACCUCCAUUCCCCUGGCCUGGGCUGCCUGCAUGCUCUGGCCCUGCUGCAGUCAGGGCAUGGCUGUUCUGUAAGAAAGCAAGGCUUGGUGCAUGGUGUUGUUUACCACCCAGGGUUCCUUGAGCCUGAUGCAACACCUCUGUGCCUCUGCUCCAGGAUGUGCUCUGCAUCCUGAUUUGAUCAUCCAUAAGUAUUUGCCCUGCUGUGUUUGCUGGUACCUGAUUUGUCCCUUCCAAACUCCCCAGGGAGACACCUGCCUCCUUCUCCCCAGGAUGGAUGGGGAGGAGCAGCGCUGGUGCCCAAUGUCAGAGUGUGGCUGCUGUGUGUGGCCCCCAUGGGAUCUCUGACUCAUGGCUAAAGUGAUGACAGAGCCCUGAGAUGAAGAGGGGAGAAAUGUGAGCCCUCCCUUCUCCACUCCAGUCUAGAUGUGGGGACUUCCUGCUUCCUGGAGAUGGAGUCAGGUUUGGCAAAGCCCAUUCCAUCCCCUGCAGCCUCAUCAAAAAGUAUUGUCAAUCCAGAAGCACUUCCCAGGUGAGGUGAGGCUUUGAGGGCCAGGUUUCCUUGGUCUAAGUGGCUCUGAUUUGGUGCUGAGUGAUUUACUGCCCUAAAAUGCCGGGGGAGGAGGCACAACUGUGGAGGGGCUGCAGCUUGGCCGCAGGCUUUCACUCCCACGAGUAACAGCACGACGGCCUCUUGCUAAUUCUCUCCCUGCAAGCCCCAUGCCAGCUCCUUGGACAGGGACCCACGUGGCAACAGGCCUGAGCACGGCACAGGCAGCCACAUUCCACGUAUCAUCAAAGGCUGCAUUCCUCCCCGGGAGCUGUGCGUGGGAUGGAGCCGCAGUCGUGCGCCUGCAGCUGCUGUUGGGGAGGAGACAGAGGAGGGGGAAGCCCGGAGCUGGGUGGAAGGAGGGAGCUGACCUGUGAGGUUUGAGUAUACAUCAGACACAGGUGCAUCCUUUGAGUUGGAGCUCUGGAAGCUUUCCGCAGGUUCCAGAGGUUUAGGUGUGGGGGCAUCGGGAUGUGUGGAGCCCACCAGCUCUUUGCAAGGGUUGUUGGCAUGAGGAAUCAGAGUGGCAUGCAGGGAUCACACAGCCCUUCCCAUGCUCGUGUUUGAAACCCUGACAACAACUAUCCUAGAGGCUGCAUCCAUCCCAGCCCCUGGAGUGAUGGGGAAUGAUACGCAGGAGAUGAGUGAACAGAAGGGCAUUUUUGGCUUGCAGGCCCUUCUGAGGGGAAUCAAUACCAGCAAGACUCCAGACAAUGAUCUGCCUGACCACCAAGUCAGCAAACCGUGAGCUUGGAGUCUUGGUCCUCCCCACGUGAGUUGUGACCUCUGCUGCAUAGGGCUGGCAUUGGGGUGUUGCAGCAAGUUGUGAGGCAGCGGGGGGGGGGGGGAGGAUGCAGCUUUCUGCUAUUUUGGAGAGCAGGGAGGAAGAGGAAGGGCUGCUGACAAAGACUGAAACUCGAAAAAUGACGAUGGUGACAAAAAAACCUUCUCCCAUUUGGGGAACCAAGUGUAUUUGUUUCCUAAUGUGAUCAGGAUAGCUCAAACUGAGAGAAGCACGUUCAUGUCAUUGACUUGCAACGUUUCAAGUUGGGUGGGUUUUGGAAACGGAGCAAAGUGUACCAGUCUCACUCCCUCCAGACUCACACAGGGGCCGAAAGACUUCUUCAGCCAAACACCUAAACCCUGAGCCUGAAUGCUUUCUCUCUUCUCCCCUAGCAGCCCUUAGCUGUGCCACCAUGCAGGGCUUGCUACCAGCACCUGGUGCUCGCACCUCAGAAGCCAGGCUGCACCAGGUUAAGCCAAGAAGGUGGCAGCACCACAUUUUCCUUCCCUCUAGCCCUGUUUGCUGUUGCUCAUCCUGCUACUCACCCUGAUCCCCCUCGGGAGUUCUGCUUCCCUCUGCCCCUUCCCGCAGAGAGACUCCCUGACCCUCCUCCAGCUCCUCAUCUGCAGAGAGCAAAGUUGUUCUUCAGAUGAACAAUGAGACAGUCAGUGCCCCAGGGAGCCUGUGGUCAAGACAAGGAGAUGCCAUGUCAUUUGGUUUCUUCUUUACUUUCAUAUUGGCUUUUAUAGCUGCAGAUGGGCUCCAGCCACAAAUCCAGCUCCCAGUGCCUUGGGCGGAGGCUGCUGAUUCAGUCCCUCUCUAUUUCUGGUGUUGGGCUUAUAUAUAAUUUAUUCCUAUAUAGUUACAGAUAUAGCUGUGCAGAGCAUGAGAAUUUCAGUGGGGACGUGAAGGGUGGUUUAUGAGUGAACCAUCAGUGUGUGUGAGAUUUCAGUGAGAGGAACAGUCGUAAACUGGUAACAAGGGCACAGUGCUGGGAGAUGCCUCAUGCCUGUGAAGGGGUUCAUCCAGGGAAGGCUGAGGCUCACCGCAGACAUACCCACAUCCUGACUGCAAUGUUCCUGCUCAUAGAGUUGAGCUGGGGAGUGGGGCUGAAGGUCCAUCAGCUUGCAGCUCAGAAGGAAAGGCUUGGGAGCUGAGGAUGUACCUGCAGCUCUUCCUUGUGCUGCGCUCAGCUGCACUCCCACCAAGGCUGAUAGUGAGUUUCCAACCCCACGCAUGGACCAAGCACACAUGGAGAUGUCCAUCAGUCAUGGCUGGGGCAUAGCUCCCGUGGAUGGGAUGGAAGAGGGGGUGCAGGGUUCCACCCCCAAUCUCCACAAACCAUCUGGGAUAACUCUGAUCUGCCUGAGCACUUAAUCAAUCCUAUUUUGUACACGAUGCAGAA